rnacentral:lncRNA from 1 species
GAGAAGGAGGAGAGAAGCUCCUUCUCAGAAGGAGGAGAGAAGCUCCUUCUCCUUCUUCUCCUCCUUCUUCUCCUUCUUCUUGUCCUUCUUCUUUUCUUCUUCUUCUCCUCUUCCUUCUCAUUAUCCUCCUCCUUCUCCUCCUCCUCCUCCUCCUCCUCCUUCUUCUUCUUCUUCUUCUCCUUCUUCUUCUCUUCUUGUUUCUUAUCAUCUUGCUUCUUAUCUUUCUUCUUCUACGUAGGUUAUUUUCCCCAACAAAGACAUACUUAGCUAAUUAUC